AGAUUAAGUUAUUAAGGGCGCACGGUGGAUGCCUUGGCACUAGAAGCCGAUGAAGGACGUUACUAACGACGAUAUGCUUUGGGGAGCUGUAAGUAAGCUUUGAUCCAGAGAUUUCCGAAUGGGGAAACCCAGCAUGAGUUAUGUCAUGUUAU
rnacentral:rRNA from 1 species